UACAGAGGUCUCAAGCGUUGUUCGGAUUUAUUGGGCGUAAAAGGCUUGUAGGUGGCCACGCCAAGUCGGAUGUGAAAUCUCCCGGCUCAACUGGGAGGGGUCAUUCGAUACUGGCGGGCUCGAGGCAGGUAGGGGGAAGCGGAAUUCCCGGUGUAGUGGUGGAAUGCGUAGAUAUCGGGAGGAACACCAGUGGCGAAGGCGGCUUCCUGGACCUGUUCUGACACUGAGGAGCGAAAGCGUGGGGAGCGAUCCGG
rnacentral:rRNA from 1 species